rnacentral:rRNA from 1 species
UGAGUAACGCGUGGGUAACCUGCCCUUAAGUCUGGGAUACCAUUUGGAAACAGAUGCUAAUACCGGAUAAAAGCUACUUUCGCAUGAAAGAAGUUUAAAAGGCGGCGUAAGCUGUCGCUAAAGGAUGGACCUGCGAUGCAUUAGCUAGUUGGUAAGGUAACGGCUUACCAAGGCGAUGAUGCAUAGCCGAGUUGAGAGACUGAUCGGCCACAUUGGGACUGAGACACGGGCCCAAACUCCUACGGGAGGCAGCAGUU